CGAUAUACUGUCUUACCAUCUAUUAAACAAAUACUUAAGAGAGAAACGUAAAAUGAUCAACAAUAAACUACGAGUGGAUAAUUUGAGGGUAUCAAUCCACAGCAAUAAAAAGGUGCUGCUGGGCCAAAAUUUAAACAAGGGGAUGGGGAGGCAAUGAUAAACAUACAUUUCGUGUCUCAAUAGUCAGGUUUCUUUCGGCUGCGAUAACAUUCCCAUC
rnacentral:lncRNA from 1 species